rnacentral:lncRNA from 1 species
AUCCAUGCUGAUGAUGAGCUUGUUAUGGUUUGACUAGUGAAUAUAUAUUUAAUUUAUAUAACAUAAAUAAACUAUUAAGUAUCACCUGCAUAGUACAUAAUAGUUACCGAAUUUUGAAUUUUUAUUGAGACUAUAUUGAAUUAAAACGUUUCAAAUGAAGUAUACAAACACUAAGUGAAUUUUACUCUGAAUUUAUUUAGGAUGAUCAAGCAUGCUGAAUAUUCUUAUCGAAUUGUUUUUCUCUUGAGGUGUGUCCACGUUUUGC